rnacentral:tRNA from 1 species
GGGCCCAUGGUCCAGUGGCAAGAUGCGUCAUUCGCAUUGACGAGACGGCAGUCCGAUUCUGCCUGGGUCCA